GAUGAACGCUAGCUACAGGCUUAACACAUGCCAGUCGAGGGGAAACGAUGAGAGAGCUUGCUCUCUUAGGCGUCGACCGGCGCACGGGUGAGUAACGCGUAUCCAACCUACCCAUUACAGGGGGAUAACCUUGCGAAAGUAAGACUAAUACCCCAUGGCAUUUUAUGGUGGCAUCAUUAUAGGAUUAAAGAUUUAUUGGUAAUGGAUGGGGAUGCGUCUGAUUAGCUUGUUGGCGGGGUAACGGCCCACCAAGGCAACGAUCAGUAGGGGUUCUGAGAGGAAGGUCCCCCACAUUGGAACUGAGACACGGUCCAAACUCCUACGGGAGGCAGCAGUGAGGAAGAUUGGUCAAUGGGCGAGAGCUUGAACCAGCCAAGUAGCGUGCAGGAUGACGGCCCUAUGGGUUGUAAACUGCUUUUAUAGGGGAAUAAAGUGAGCUACGUGUAGUUUAUUGCAUGUACCCUAUGAAUAAGGACCGGCUAAUUCCGUG
rnacentral:rRNA from 1 species